GAUGAACGCUAGCGGCAGGCUUAACACAUGCAAGUCGAGGGGCAGCACGGAAGUGGUAACACUUUUGGUGGCGACCGGCGGACGGGUGCGUAACGCGUAUGCAACCUACCGAGAACUUGGGGAUAACGGAUGGAAACGUCCACUAAUACCUGAUAAUAUCAUUGGAGGCAUCUUCGGUGGUUGAAAGAAUUUUGGUUGUUGAUGGGCAUGCGUAACAUUAGUUAGUUGGUGGGGUAACGGCUCACCAAGGCUACGAUGUUUAGGGGGACUGAGAGGUUAACCCCCCACACUGGAACUGAGACACGGUCCAGACUCCUACGGGAGGCAGCAGUGAGGAAUAUUGGUCAAUGGGCGAAAGCCUGAACCAGCCAUGCCUCGUGCAGGAAGACGGCUAUAUGAGUUGUAAACUGCUUUUACACAGGGAUAAAUCGGGGUACGCGUACCCCGUUGAAGGUACUGUGGGAAUAAGGAUCGGCUAACUCCGUGCCAGCCGCCGCGGUAA
rnacentral:rRNA from 1 species